UACGUAGGGGGCAAGCGUUGUCCGGAAUUAUUGGGCGUAAAGGGCUCGUAGGCGGCCAACUAAGUCAGACGUGAAAUCCCCAGGCUUAACCUGGGAACUGCGUCUGAUACUGGAUGGCUUGAAUUCGGGAGAGGGAUGCAGAAUUCCAGGUGUAGCGGUGAAAUGCGUAGAUAUCUGGAGGAAUACCGGUGGCGAAGGCGGCAUCCUGGACCGGCAUUGACGCUGAGGAGCGAAAGCUAGGGGAGCAAACGGG
rnacentral:rRNA from 1 species